rnacentral:misc_RNA from 1 species
GAUGAAGAACGUAGUGAAAUGCGAUACGUAAUGUGAAUUGCAGAAUUCAGUGAAUCAUCGAAUCUUUGAACGCACAUUGCGCCCGCCAGUAUUCUGGCGGGCAUGCCUGUUCGAGCGUCAUUACAACCCUCAGGCCCCCGGGCCUGGCGUUGGGGAUCGGCGGAAGCCCCCUGCGGGCACAACGCCGUCCCCCAAAUACAGUGGCGGUCCCGCCGCAGCUUCCAUUGCGUAGUAGCUAACACCUCGCAACUGGAGAGCGGCGCGGCCACGCCGUAAAACACCCAACUUCUGAAUGUUGACCUCGAAUCAGGUAGGAAUACCCGCUGAACUUAAGCAUAUCAAUAAGCGGAGGA